UAGGGAAUCUUCGGCAAUGGGGGGAACCCUGACCGAGCAACGCCGCGUGAGUGAAGAAGGUUUUCGGAUCGUAAAGCCCUGUUGUUAAGGAAGAACGAGUGUGAGAAUGGAAAGUUCAUGCGGUGACGGUACUUAACCAGAAAGGGACGGCUAACUACGUGCCAGCAGCCGCGGUAAUACGUAGGUCCCGAGCGUUGUCCGGAAUUAUUGGGCGUAAAGCGAGCGCAGGCGGUUAGAAAAGUCUGAAGUGAAAGGCAGUGGCUCAACCAUUGUAUGCUUUGGAAACUGUUUAACUUGAGUGCUGAGGGUGCGAGUGGAAUUCCAUGUGUAGCUGUGAAAUGCGUAGAUAUAUGGAUGCACACCGGUUGCGAAAGCGGCUCUCUGGUCUGUAUCUGACGCUGAGGCUCGAAAGCGUGGGGAGCGAACAGG
rnacentral:rRNA from 1 species